GCCGAAGUGGCGGAACUGGUAGACGCGCACGUUUGAGGGGCGUGUGGGGUAACCCGUGGGGGUUCGAGUCCCCCCUUCGGCA
rnacentral:tRNA from 1 species